AGUGAACGCUGGCGGUAGGCCUAACACAUGCAAGUCGAACGGCAGCACAGUAAGAGCUUGCUCUUACGGGUGGCGAGUGGCGGACGGGUGAGGAAUACAUCGGAAUCUACUUUUUCGUGGGGGAUAACGUAGGGAAACUUACGCUAAUACCGCAUACGACCUACGGGUGAAAGCAGGGGAUCUUCGGACCUUGCGCGAUUGAAUGAGCCGAUGUCGGAUUAGCUAGUUGGCGGGGUAAAGGCCCACCAAGGCGACGAUCCGUAGCUGGUCUGAGAGGAUGAUCAGCGACACGAGAACUGAGACACGGUCCAGACUCCUACGGGAGGCAGCAGUGGGGAAUAUUGGACAAUGGGCGCAAGCCUGAUCCAGCCAUACCGCGUGGGUGAAGAAGGCCUUCGGGUUGUAAAGCCCUUUUGUGGGGAAAGAAAAGCAGCAGGUUAAGACCACGCUGUUCUGACGGUACCCAAAGAAUAAGCACCGGCUAACUUCGUG
rnacentral:rRNA from 1 species